rnacentral:rRNA from 1 species
GGGUUAAGUCCCGCAACGAGCGCAACCCUUGCCUUUAGUUGCCAGCAGUUCGGCUGGGCACUCUAAAGGGACUGCCGGUGUUAAACCGGGAGGAAGGUGGGGAUGACGUCAAGUCCUCAUGGCCUUUAUGACCAGGGCUACACACGUACUACAAUGGCCGAUACAAAGGGCAGCGACACGUGCGAGGUGAAGCCAAUCCCGUAAAAUCGGUCUCAGUCCGGAUUGGAGUCUGCAACUCGACUCCAUGAAGUUGGAAUCGCUAGUAAUCGUGGAUCAGCAUGCCACGGUGAAUACGUUCCCGGGCCUU